AAAACACACUAGAGGUAAUUACAAGAAGCAAUACCUGCACUGGAAACGUUCUGCGUGACUCUAUCAUUUCAAGCUGCAGAACAUGGAAGUGCUAAAGUGUUCCUGAGGAUAUCAGGAGAAAUAAAAAGUUCCUUAUCUCCCGUGACAAAGAUAAAAAAGAGGAACAUGUGUAAUGUAACUCUUCAGGAAAGCCAUGAGUUCAAAUGACAAACACAGUGGAGGGGAGCUAAACACAGGAUGUUCCCAGCAGCAUUCAGCUGGAGCAACAUAGAGGAAGAAGAGGAUUACACCCUCAUGACAAGUGCUCAAAGUCUUCCUAAGAGAUAAGAAGACCUAAAAUAUAGCUUUCUGUAUGGAUUUUCAUCUGUAGUGCUGCUGGUGGUAGGCUUGGAGGAGGUUCUUUGGUUUGGAUGGAAGGUUUUGAAGACUCCCUGUGCUCUUCUUUUGGUGUCAGUAUGUUACCUUCUGGAGAAACACCUCCUGAUAAGAGUUUAGCAGACUAAAGGGGCAGCUCCAAAAGUAAUGCCUCCUAUUUUAUGAUGUUGGCCAGUGAUGUCAGAGGUGGAUGUUGGUGGUAUGGCAGUAGAGAUUGAACCUUCCCACCAAUAUUCUGUUACAUUUCGCUGCUGUGUGACAGAUGGUAGCAGAGGGGCAGUCUGACAAAAUGGCAUCUGACAUGGAAGCGCCUAUGAAGAAUGGUACUGAAUUCCUCCAUGCAGAAAAAAUUGGCACCCUUCAGUAUUCAUCAAUGCUUGCUGAAUGUUUCUGGAGACCAAACAGUGGAUGUGAGAUGGAACUGGGGCUGUGAACGGUGCAUUUCAGCAGUGGUGAUAGUAACAUGAAAGACAAGCCAUGUUCCAGAUGGCCAUGCUGAUUUUUACAAGCAUGACAUGCAAGCUCUUUUUCAUCACUGGUGAGAAUAAACAGCUAAUGGUUGUGAUUAUGUUGAAAAAAUAGUGUUUUUGAGCUGAGAAUUUGCUCUAUCAAACAGAGUAUUGUGUUUUCUGUAUCUGUUGUGAUUUCCGUGGAAAUAAAUAGGAGCCAUUACUUUUGGAGUCAUCCACAUAAGUUACACACUCUAAAAAGUAAAUGUCUAGAUGAUUGGGAAAGUCAAGGGGAUAGGGAUGGACUAUGAUGCCCUCCAUUCACCCAUGCCAGUUAGAUCCUACCCCUCCUGAAAAUAGCUCAGAGCUCUUAACUCAGUGAUGACUUUUCAGCCAUUGAUGUAAAAUAUGUGGGAUGAGCUCAAGGUAACUCCCACGAGAAAUACAUCACUGGAGAAAUACAUGCUCCUCUUCACUGCCUCCCUCAACACAGAUGGGCAACUCCCUGGGGCAGGGAAUCCCUACUGUAAGAUUCUUUUUCCAGCUGUGAUCUCUGUACAGGGAUUUGAUGGCUGGGUGAUCACGUUCUCAGGCUGCAUGGGGGAUGGCUGCUCACACAAAAACACGGAGAGGAGCAGCAUCCUCAGGAAAGAGGCUGACACACAGAGCAGAAUGCAGGAAUACUGAUGGCACAGCAUGAGUGAAUUUCUAUUGUUUUCCUUCAAAUAUCUUCUAGUGUUCUAGGUAGGGAACAAAACCUGUCUUUUCAUAAUCAUUAAAGCCACAUUAUUCAUUUAAGCAUGGAAACACUGGCACAAAUGUUAAUCCUAGUAGCUCAAUAGACUCACGCAAUGUAUACAGACAAUUUCAGAUCAUUUGCAAGAAAUACUGUAUUCCCCAAGUUCCACCUUUACUGUCACAGUUGCUAUUAGAUAGUUGGAUAAAAUGCCAAUGCUGACAGUGUCGGGAGGGUUUGUACCUGUUAAAAUGUCACUCAAUAUGUGAUUUUUCUGACAAUUUGGGUGCUGCUGAAAAAAGCCAGGUUGACAAGCUUACUCCAUUUCAGCUUUCUUUUUUUCUAUUGUGUACUCUCAGCUCUUUCAUGGGCUUUAUAAUAAAUAAAACCUCAAAUUUGUCCACCUAAAAGGCUUUCUUACAGUAAGGCAGUCCUAGCUCAAAUAAUCGUUUCCAAUUUCAUUGUGUUGAAAGAGCAGAAUGCGUGUGCUCACACACGUAUGUGGAUGACUAAAAUCUCAUCCAAAACACUGUGUGUUUCCUAUUGCUGUGAAGGGAGUAGUAAGAACCUUUGAAUUCCCACAAGAUCACUAAAUAAACUAAAUGCAGCCAUGUGGUGUUUUUCUUCAGUCUCUCCACCCUUGCCUGCAAAUGUGGUUUGUCCUGAGUGCUG
ensembl:lncRNA